rnacentral:rRNA from 1 species
UGAGCAAUCUGCCCUUCUCAUCGGAAUAACCAUUGGAAACGAUGGCUAAUGCCGAAUAUGACCUCGGAUCACAUGUUCUGAGGUGGAAAGCUCCGGCGGAGAAGGAUGAGCUCGCGGCCUAUCAGCUUGUUGGUGGGGUAAUGGCCCACCAAGGCGACGACGGGUAGCCGGCCUGAGAGGGCGACCGGCCACACUGGGACUGAGACACGGCCCAGACCUCUACGGGA